GCGCUCGUAGUAUAGUCUGGUCUAAUGCACCUGCCUGUCAAGCAGGAAAUCGCCGGUUCAAAUCCGGUCGGGCGCGC
rnacentral:tRNA from 1 species